rnacentral:rRNA from 1 species
GUCUUUUUGAUUUUAAUAUAAAGUCUGGCCUGCUCAAUGAAAUUUAAAUAGCUGCGGUAUUUUGACCGUACAAAGGUAGCAUAAUCAAUAGUUUUUUAAUUAAAAACUGGAAUGAAAGGUUUAAUAAAAAAAUAACUGUCUUAAAAUAAAAAUAAAAACUUUAUUUUUUAGUUAAAAAGCUAAAAUAUAUUUUAUAGACGAGAAGACCCUAUAGAGUUUUAUUAUUUUUUAAAUAUAAUAAAUUUUAGUAAUUAAUUUAUUAAUUUUUUUAAAAUAAUUUAAUUGGGGUGAUUAAAAAAUUAAAUUAACUUUUUUAUUUUAUUAUCAAUAUUAAUUGAAUUUUUGAUCCAUUUAAAUGAUUAAUAAAAAAAAUUACCUUAGGGAUAACAGCGUAAUUUUUUUUAAAGUUCACAUUAAAAAAAAAGAUUGCGACCUCGAUGUUGGAUUAAAAUUUAUUUUUGGUGAAGAAGCUAAAUAAUUGGGUCUGUUCGACCUUUAAAAUUUUACA